AGAGUUUGAUCAUGGCUCAGAACGAACGCUGGCGGUAUGCUUAACACAUGCAAGUCGAACGGAGUUUACUAGCUUGCUAGUAAACUUAGUGGCAAACGGGUGAGUAACACGUGGGAACCUGCCUAAUAGUAAGGGAUAACAGUUGGAAACGACUGCUAAUACCAUAUACACUCUACGGAGAAAAGAUUUAUCGCUAUUAGAUGGGCCCGCGCCGGAUUAGGUAGUUGGUAGGGUAAUGGCCUACCAAGCCGACGAUCCGUAGCUGGUUUGAGAGGAUGAUCAGCCACACUGGAACUGAGACACGGUCCAGACUCCUACGGGAGGCAGCAGUGGGGAAUCUUGGACAAUGGGCGAAAGCCUGAUCCAGCAAUACCGCGUGAGUGAUGAAGGCCUUAGGGUUGUAAAACUCUUUCAGUGGGGAAGAUAAUGACGGUACCCACAGAAGAAGCACCGGCUAACUCCGUGCCAGCCGCCGCGGUAAUUC
rnacentral:rRNA from 1 species